rnacentral:sRNA from 1 species
CAUUAGCCCCGAUUGAAGUGGAAAUUAUUUUGCUUUUUCCUUUAAAAAGCAAAAUGAUUGCAACGUAAAGCGGGAACUAUU